rnacentral:rRNA from 1 species
GAUAAACGCUGGCGGCGUGCGUAAUACAUGCAAGUCGGACGGGCCCUUCGGGGCCAGUGGCGGACGGGUGAGUAACACGUAGGGAUCUGCCCCGAGGUGGGGGAUAACGGCGGGAAACCGUCGCUAAUCCCGCGUACGCUCGGCCUUCGGGUCGAGGAAAGCCUUCGGGCGCCUUGGGGGGAACCUGCGGCCCAUUAGCUGGUUGGUGGGGUAACGGCCUACCAAGGCGAUGAUGGGUAGCCGGUCUGAGAGGAUGGCCGGCCACACUGGGACUGAG